GGCAGCCGUGAGGGGCAGCUCCGACGGCGACAAAGGGAGCGCUGGGUGGGUGGUAGUGGGGUUUAAUUUCCUCGCUAUCUGAAUAAAUAGCAGUAAAUUACACUAAUUUCCUCCAGCCGAAUCCGUUUCACGCGUCGUUAUCUCCAUUCACGAGCUUUUUACUCCUUGUUUUCCGUUCGUGUUUUCCUGCUGAGGAAGGGCCUUGGGGACCUUGUUUGCCUGCGGCUCCUCUCAGUCCAACCCCGAGCAGGCAUCUUCCUUGUCAGGGCUUUAGGUGCCCUUCUCUUCAUUUUGAAACGCUUGUGGUUAAUGGGAAAUAUUUUAGCUAAACUUACAUGAAGAUCUGAGUUAGAAAGAUUACAAGAGAAGGCCAAGUUAGAAUAGGAAAGUAUUUGUUAAAAGUUGCUGUUGCAGGGGAGGGACAAAGGCAAAUGAAGCUUUAGUUAACAGACUGGAUGUUCAGUCCUUUGUGGUGCAGGAAAAUUUUAGAACUUGUUUUUUAAUUUACAUAAGGAAUUUCAUCCUACCUGCGUUCACAGAUGAGUGUGCAUUUUCAGGUCAUGCAAAAGAAGCUGCAUGCCAGCCACAGAUGCAGAGUGUUUUCAGACUUCUUCCCAGUAAGUAAAUAUAGAUAAAUUUUCCAUACAUUGGAACUGCCAGUGUGUUUAGCAAUUAUCAAAAAUAUUGGUGGGUCUAAUAAGUUACUUUUGUGUUUAAGUUUAAG
rnacentral:lncRNA from 1 species